rnacentral:rRNA from 1 species
GAUGAACGCUGGCGGCGUGCCUAAUACAUGCAAGUCGAGCGAACGGACGAGAAGCUUGCUUUUCUGAUGUUAGCGGCGGACGGGUGAGUAACACGUGGAUAACCUACCUAUAAGACUGGGAUAACUUCGGGAAACCGGAGCUAAUACCGGAUAAUAUUUUGAACCGCAUGGUUCAAAAGUGAAAGACGGUCUUGCUGUCACUGAUAGAUGGAUCCGCGCUGCAUUAGCUAGUUGGUAAGGUAACGGCUUACCAAGGCAACGAUGCAUAGCCGACCUGAGAGGGUGAUCGGCCACACUGGAACUGAGACACGGUCCAGACUCCUACGGGAAGCAGCAGUAGGGAAUCUUCCGCAAUGGGCGUAAGCCUGACGGAGCAACGCCGCGUGAGUGAUGAAGGUCUUCGGAUCGUAAAACUCUGUUAUUAGGGAAGAACAUAUGUGUAAGUAACUGUGCACAUCUUGACGGUACCUAAUCAGAAAGCCACGGCUAACUACGUG